UGNGCUGGCGGAAUGCUUUCACAUGCAANUCGAACGGCAGCACGGACUUCGGUCUGGUGGCGAGUGGCGAACGGGUGAGUAAUACAUCGGAACGUGCCCAGUCGUGGGGGAUAACGUAGCGAAAGCUACGCUAAUACCGCAUACGAUCUACGGAUGAAAGCGGGGGAUCGCAAGACCUCGCGCGAUUGGAGCGGCCGAUGGCAGAUUAGGUAGUUGGUGGGGUAAAGGCUCACCAAGCCGACGAUCUGUAGCUGGUCUGAGAGGAUGAUCAGCCACACUGGGACUGAGACACGGCCCAGACUCCUACGGGAGGCAGCAGUGGGGAAUUUUGGACAAUGGGCGCAAGCCUGAUCCAGCCAUUCCGCGUGCAGGAUGAAGGCCUUCGGGUUGUAAACUGCUUUUGUACGGAACGAAAAGGCUCUGGUUAAUACCCGGGGCUCAUGACGGUACCGUAAGAAUAAGCACCGGCUAACUACGUGCCAGCAGCCGCGGUAAUACGUAGGGUGCAAGCGUUAAUCGGAAUUACUGGGCGUAAAGCGUGCGCAGGCGGUGAUGUAAGACAGAGGUGAAAUCCCCGGGCUCAACCUGGGAACUGCCUUUGUGACUGCAUCGCUGGAGUACGGCAGAGGGGGAUGGAAUUCCGCGUGUANCA
rnacentral:rRNA from 1 species